UACGUAGGGGGCUAGCGUUGUCCGGAUUUAUUGGGCGUAAAGAGCGUGUAGGCGGCCAGAUAGGUCUGCUGUGAAAACUCGAGGCUCAACCUCGAGAUGUCGGCGGAAACCAUUUGGCUAGAGUCCGGAAGAGGAAAGUGGAAUUCCUGGUGUAGCGGUGAAAUGCGCAGAUAUCAGGAGGAACACCGGUGGCGAAGGCGGGGUCUCUGGGCAGUAACUGACGUGAGGAGCGAAAGCGUGGGGGAGCGAACAGG
rnacentral:rRNA from 1 species